UACGAAGGGGGCUAGCGUUACUCGGAAUUACUGGGCGUAAAGGGCGCGUAGGCGGCUUGGUAAGUCAGGCGUGAAAUUCCCGGGCUCAACCCGGGGACUGCGCUUGAGACUGCUGGGCUAGAGGAUGGAAGAGGGUCGUGGAAUUCCCAGUGUAGAGGUGAAAUUCGUAGAUAUUGGGAAGAACACCGGUGGCGAAGGCGGCGACCUGGUCCAUUACUGACGCUGAGGCGCGACAGCGUGGGGAGCAAACAGG
rnacentral:misc_RNA from 1 species